UAUUGCAAACUAUUAGCAAGAAAGUACUUGUGGAAGUUAAGUAAUUUCAAGCCUCCUUGGAUGCAGCCACAGGCUGAUCUUUGACUUUCACACAUCUGGACUUCAUUCCUGAAGCAGCUGCAUGUUGUCCUGAAUGUUCCUGAAUGUUCUUCUUCUCUGCUUCUGCUGGACUCUUCUGAUCUGCUGCUGUUGCUUCACAUCUUUGGACUUUUUCCAAACUUUUUGAUCUUCUUCAGCUCUGAACUCUUUAGAAGAAGUGAAGGAUAAAAAAAUAUGAACUUUGUCUCUAAACUCAACUCUUUGUUCUGGAUUUAGGUUGUGGGGCUGCAGAUUGUCAAAGACCAGCUGUGCUGCUCUGGCCUCAGCUCUGAAGUCCAACCCGUCCCACCUGACCGAACUGGACCUGAGCUACAACUACCUUCAGUCUUCAGAUGUUCAGCAGCUCCAGGAUCUGGUGGAGAGUCCAAACUCCAAACUGCAGACUCUGAGGUGGGAGGAAAGGAGCCUGUGGGUCUGAAGUUCCUCCUGGAGGAGCAGAGAGGAGCAGCAGCAGCAGCUGGUCUGCAGAGAUAUUGUGACUGGCCGGUGUUCCUGGGAGGUGGAGAGCAGAGUGAUGGAGGAAUCAGAGGAAGUGGAGAUGAGUGUCAGAGCUGCAGCAGGAACUGAUCUGAGAUCAGCUCCACUGUCUCUCUCAGCAUCAAGUGGACAGUUAUUGUGCUGCAGCUCCCCCAGUGGACUGAUGGAGAACUGCACUUCCUCUUCUCAUUCUAACUUGGAGUGUUGAUCUGAAACAUGGGUUGGAUUCAGAUGUUCAGCAGCUCCAGGAUCUGGAGAAAAACAGACCUGCAGACAAACAGAUUCUUUUGUGUGGUUGAACCUCAAACCACCACAUAAGUGUUAGUAUUUCUUUAUUUGUCUUUAAAUUAAAACAUUCAUUUUUACUUUGUUUACCUAAAAUAAUUCAACAAUGGGUGCACAUAUUUGAUUAAUGUGUUUUAAGUGAGAAAAAUAGUUUAUUCACUUUUGUUUGUUUUCUGAGUUUCCAUCCUAGGUGAGCCCAACCAUAGUAAUCAGCAGAGGAGAUUGGGAAAAUCCAUUGCAGGGAUUACAACUCUCCUCAUGGACUUUGUUUGUUCUUAUUUAAAGGAAAUAAUUCAGUUCACUUUUUGUUAAAGACUACCUUUGUUUUAUAUUCAUUUUGUUUCCAGACUCAGCCAAUGUCAGUGCAUUGGCUGAGUCUGGGGGGUAUUCCAGAAAGCAUGUUUAAAGUACCCAGACUUUAACCCUGAACUCUGGCUGAAAUCCGCCUGAACUUGCUUACUUUGGGUGUGUUGUUUCCAAAAGACCAGAUAUGAGUUGGCGUAAUUACGUUCGACUUGGUAACCCUGGGUUAACGCAUGUGCACAGCAGGUACAUAAAGACAUUCUCAAUAGAUAGCCGAUUUCCGGAGUCUCCAUGGAAACGUGUGGAGAACCUAAGAGAGCGCAAUACUUCAGUGAGAUGGAGUCUGAGAUUUUAAUGACAGCUAUGAAGAUUAUACGCCCAUUAAAAAAGUAAUACAGCUGCAUCAGAAAAAGAAAGUUUCUGCGUGUAGUAGAAGAACAGACAAAGUAAACCAUGAGUUUCUGAUCUUAUUUCCAUUUUCCUUGUGAUGCAUAUAUAUAUAUAUAUAACUUAUCCAAUUUUGCCCAUUUAAAUAAAUUACUUCUAUUGGUAACAAAUAAUUGAGUUAAAUUUAUUCAACCUAAUUUCUUACAUCUAUAAAACUUAAUUAGUGUUUAUACAACUCAAAU
ensembl:lncRNA